rnacentral:rRNA from 1 species
GACGAACGCUGGCGGCGUGCUUAACACAUGCAAGUCGAACGGAAAGGCCCUGCUUUUGUGGGGUGCUCGAGUGGCGAACGGGUGAGUAACACGUGAGUAACCUGCCCUUGACUUUGGGAUAACUUCAGGAAACUGGGGCUAAUACCGGAUAGGAGCUCCUGCUGCAUGGUGGGGGUUGGAAAGUUUCGGCGGUUGGGGAUGGACUCGCGGCUUAUCAGCUUGUUGGUGGGGUAGUGGCUUACCAAGGCUUUGACGGGUAGCCGGCCUGAGAGGGUGACCGGCCACAUUGGGACUGAGAUACGGCCCAGACUCCUACGGGAGGCAGCAGUGGGGAAUAUUGCACAAUGGGCGGGAGCCUGAUGCAGCAACGCCGCGUGCGGGAUGACGGCCUUCGGGUUGUAAACCGCUUUCGCUUGUGACGAAGCGUGAGUGACGGUAAUGGGUAAAGAAGCACCGGCUAACUACGUG